UCUCUGGCAGUCCAGUGGUUAGGGCUCAGUACUUCUACUGCUCAGGGUGCAGGUUCUAUCCCUGGUCAGGGAA
rnacentral:tRNA from 1 species